rnacentral:rRNA from 1 species
UCAGGAUGAACGCUGGCGGCGUGCCUAACACAUGCAAGUCGAACGAAGCACUGGAAACGGAGAUUCGUCAAAGUUCCUUGACUAGUGGCGGACGGGUGAGUAAUGUGUGAGCAACCUGCCUUUCAGAGGGGGACAACAGUUGGAAACGACUGCUAAUACCGCAUAACGUAUUGACGGGGCAUCCUGUUGAUACCAAAGGAGUGAUCCGCUGAAAGAUGGGCUCACAUCUGAUUAGCUAGUUGGUAGGGUAACGGCCUACCAAGGCUGCGAUCAGUAGCCGGACUGAGAGGUUGAACGGCCACAUUGGGACUGAGAUACGGCCCAGACUCCUACGGGAGGCAGCAGUGGGGAAUAUUGGGCAAUGGGCGAAAGCCCUGACCCAGCAACGCCGCGUGAAGGAAGAAGGUCUUCGGAUUGUAAACUUCUUUUAUGAGGGACGAAGGACGUGACGGUACCUCAUGAAUAAGCCACGGCUAACUACGUGCCAGCCGCGGC